rnacentral:rRNA from 1 species
UACGAAGGGGGCUAGCGUUGUUCGGAAUUACUGGGCGUAAAGGGCGCGUAGGCGUUGUGUCAAGUCAGGCGUGAAAGCCCCGGGCUCAACCUGGGAACAGCGCUUGAGACUGGCACGCUCGAGUUCGGGAGAGGAUGGUGGAAUUCCCAGUGUAGAGGUGAAAUUCGUAGAUAUUGGGAAGAACACCGAUGGCGAAGGCAGCCAUCUGGACCGACACUGACGCUGAGGCGCGAAAGCGUGGGGAGCAAACAGG